CAUCCAUUCCAACUUCGUCUCUCAGCCUACUCUCUCUCUAGAUUGAGAGACCAUCUUUCUUCUUCAACAAACCAGCACCGCUGCCAUUUGCACAGCCCUCCAUCACAGCUUCCAUCAACGCCGCCGAAGACCCAGCCACUGUCACAGCAGGCCAGCACCAGCACCGACUUGCCAUCACCUUGCCCCAGCUCCGACGACCGUGCGUAUCAUGACCCAAGCCGCUGCUCACCAUGGGUGCUUUACUUCGGCUCAUCGACGUAGCUUCUCAGAAAUCCAAAUAUUCCGGAGCAAGGUUCACCAACUAGCACCGACACUGACUUCUCUUGUGACGACACUGCUGCUUCCGGCUUUUGAGAGCCAUUGUGACGCCGACUCCUCUACCUCACCAUCGGUGUUUUACUAUUGUCGGCUUAUCUCUGCUGUAAUCUUUGCUACCGACAUCGGCUAUCCAGCGCUACCCACAUGCGUUGCUAUUUCUGUCCUUAACUGCCCAACACCGACCACACAUGCCGCCGACUCAACGUGGCAUGCGUGGUCUCACCAAGCACCGUUCAACUUGUUGUUGGUAUUAUUUCUUAGCUUAACAAUAUUUAUCGGGGCUCCGAACUCACGAAUUUCGGCCCUACUUUCAUACCCAUUGUAAUCCAUCGCCAUUGGUUCCGGCUAUGAUUAAUCAAUGCCAACCACACCGCCGACUCAGCGCGGUGUUGGUUUGCCUAGCUGCCCGCUGUUUCGUGCACCAUUCUCAACCUACACCGCCUUUGGUCUUCAUCCUCUUCGUUACUUCUCUAAGUCUGUGGAUGCUCGAAAGAUAAAUAGUGGAUGCCCGAUGCUUUGCCUUCGUCUUCGGCUGUUCAACGCGAACCACACGUCGCCCACUCAACGCGAUGUGUGGUUUUGCCUAACACCAUCCAGCUCAUUAGUCUCACAGCCCGGCGCUAUUUUUUUUCGGAGUUUGAAUCUCGAUUUUUGCAUACUCAUUGGAUUCGGCCGUGAUUAAUCAACGUGGACCACGUCGCCCUUUCAACGCGUCGUUGGUUCGUCUAGCACCCUUCUCACUUACUGUUUGUCCAAGCUACACUCACUGCUGCCGCCCUGUCUCAACUUGUCCAACGCCGACCACGCACGUUCGCCCACUCAACGCAACGCGUGUGGUCCUGCCAAGCCUAGCCCAGUCUUGUUGAUUACAGUCUGUAAAGCCUCUCUGAUUUCAGCUUAUAUUUCCAACAUCGGCUUCGGACUUCACCCCUCUAACAGUCCCAAAUUUGUGAGUAUGAAAUUCGGCUCCCUCUUCCUCUCGUUGAAUAAUAAAGAUGAUAUAUUGUUGUUUGUUUAACUUGUGGAUGCUUGGGAAAUACAUAGCUGAUGCCAAAAUUUUUGUGUGACCGUUGUAGUUUUACGUUGGCUCGAGAGGAACCAGCCCGGAGAGACAAAAACUUGAUAGUUGCAUUUUCAUGAACUUGCUCAGAGCAAAUGAAUUCUUGAUUGAAAUCCACGACCUUGGGGCCCUUGGAACCCGUACUAAUGAGAGCAAGGGCUGUUCCUCGGAAGUCCGAACAGAAGCAAGACUGUCUCUCGGGAGUCCGAAGGUAGCACACACCCUACUUUGGCAAGAAAGAUUCCUCUGGAAGGUAACCGAGUCUACCAAGCUUGCACCAACAGAAGUAAAGAUUGUCUCUCAGAAG